CCUACGGGAGGCUGCAGUGGGGAAUAUUGGACAAUGGGGGGAACCCUGAUCCAGCCAUGCCGCGUGUGUGAAGAAGGCCCUCGGGUUGUAAAGCACUUUCAGUGAGGAAGAACGCCUGGUGGUUAAUACCCAUCAGGAAAGACAUCACUCACAGAAGAAGCACCGGCUAACUCCGUGCCAGCAGCCGCGGUAAUACGGAGGGUGCGAGCGUUAAUCGGAAUUACUGGGCGUAAAGCGCGCGUAGGUGGCUUGAUAAGCCGGUUGUGAAAGCCCCGGGCUCAACCUGGGAACGGCAUCCGGAACUGUCAAGCUAGAGUGCAGGAGAGGAAGGUAGAAUUCCCGGUGUAGCGGUGAAAUGCGUAGAGAUCGGGAGGAAGACCAGUGGCGAAGGCGGCCUUCUGGACUGACACUGACACUGAGGUGCGAAAGCGUGGGUAGCAAACAGGAUUAGAUACCCUGGUAGUC
rnacentral:rRNA from 1 species